rnacentral:lncRNA from 1 species
CUUAGGCCUUCAAUGCCGCUUCCCUUCCUUGAUACCUCCUGCCUAAUUGCUGGACUUCCUGGUGCCCGAGUGCGCUGAGUGCACUUGUCUUCUCAGCCUUCCUAAGCAUUCGCUCGUGCAAUAAGACAUUUGGAAGGUUUUUUUGCCAGUUCAUCAGCUUUUAGGCAUUGAGGGAGGACAGUGUCUCCUGGCACGGCAUUUGUACAGAGCCUGAGAGGAACGCAGCUCGUCAGCACUGCAGGUGGCACAUGUGGCACAUCUCCUCACCGCACAGAUCCUUCCCGAGGUCCAGCUCACCUCUCUCCUCAAGGCCACGCAGGUGGAUGCCUGCCGAGCCUUUGUGUCUUGUAACCAAACGCUGUGAGGGGAGCUUAGCAUCACUAUGCUCAUCCUCACUCCAAAUUGUAGGAGACAGGAUGUCACCCAGCAAGAGCUGGAGAUGGCUUGGAUCUUCUGAGCUGAGCUCUGUGUGGACCAUCAAGUGCACUGUGCCUGCGGAGCUGCCAGUUAUGCUGAGUUUUUCUUUGUGCUCUUGUUUUGAAGACACUAGUACUAAAGGCAAGCAUCAGUCUGACAGUUCUGAAAACUGAAAUCUCUUUAUCCCCUAUGAAGGAAAGCAAACCAACCACAAUCUGGCUUCUUUCAGGCUUCUCCUGUUCAAGCCCAGUGUGGGAGCUGUACCCUGGCAGGCACGAGGGGUGUGUAACCCACUGCCCGCUUGUUCCUGAGUACUUCUGCAGAGACUUUUGGUGAGAAACUCAAGCACAUGGCUGGUUUUGCUCCGUCUUUAUUAUGCUUUUACUCCCCAGACCACAGCCCAGGAGAGACGUGCUGUUAUUGCUCGGUGCCAUGAAGUAACACGGUGCUGCAGACAACAAAAGAAGCUGACUGCAGAGCGGGGACCUCUGCAUCUCCAGGUCCCCAGCUUGGCAACCUGGUCAAUGGCUCUGGUUGUUUCAGUUCUAGGAAACAGGCUGAUGCUAAUGACCCUGAACUAUUAUUUGCCUACUGUAAUACAGGGAAAUGAGGGCUAGAUGUGAGGAUUUGCAGCUUGCUGCCUUUCCCCGCUCUCCUUCCCUGGAAGAGUUUUGCAAAAACAACUCGGCACUGGCCGGACACCCAUCCCCAUGGCUGGUAGCGACAUCCCCGCUCCCAGGGGGCCCUACCCUGCAAUACUCCACGCUGUCGUCUGCAGGCCUUGUGGAUGGGAACUACAUACCUGGAGCUCCUGAUACAGGGGCUAUGGAGGAACACCAGCUCUCCUCGUGGGAGGCAGGGUACCCUGCCUCUUCCUUCUGAAUGUGCUUUAUGGAAGAGCAGCAAGGGCUGGGUGCACGUUGCGUGUCCCCACAGCCACGUGAGGCAUGGCACGUCGGUCUGGGGCUGGCCGAAACGCGUUGUGUGAUGCAUCUGGCACGGAAACCUUUUCCCAGCUCUUCAUGCCAGGCUCUUCUGGACACCAGGAAAGGAGUGGGCAGCUGUUUGGCAGCCUUGGCCUGCUGACCAUCGCCUCCUUCUUUUGUGCCCCAGCGCCUCUCUGGGGCUCGUGAGCACAGAUGGGCCGGGCCAGGUGCAGGAUGGCCGGUGUCA